rnacentral:tmRNA from 1 species
GGGACUGCUCUGGUUUCGACAUUUAAAAUUUGUUAAUUCAUGAUUCAGGCCGAAGCUUGUAUUCUUCGUAAAAAUCUACAAUCUUAAAAAUAAAUGCUAAUAAUAUAAUUUCUUUUAUUUCUCAAACGGUAAAUUUUAAUGUUAACAAAACUUCUUUACGAUUUGCUGUUUAAUCAUUAAACAUACUUUAUCCUAAAUUUUUUGUUCUCUACAUAUUGAAAUUCUUUUUAAAUGUAGUUUAGAAUAAUUUUAACAAACAUUUGUUCUUUGAAACUAAGCCUGUGAACGAGUAAAUUAAAAACUUUUAAAUGGACAUGGGUUCAAUUCCCAUCAGUUCCA